GCUGAGGUUCAGUGAGGAGACUGGAUUACAUUAAGGCUUAAAUAAUGAAAUAAUUUCAAUUAUUACUUACAGGCACUUCUCAAAAGACACACAGAACUUUGCUCUACUGCAACGGAGCAAGCAGCUGUGCUUAGCCUCGUUACAAAGCUCCAAACAGUAUUAGACAACUUGGUAGUCGCACCUGGAGAUUUUGCAGCUUGCCAAUUGGAGGAGGUUCGUCAAGUCGGUUCUUACAAAAAAGGAACGAUGAUGGCGGGCAAGAAUGUCGCCGCCGAUAUAGUGGUCAUCAUGAAGACUUUACCACUUUGCCCACUAAAGAGGCUGUGGAGGGGCUGUCAAAUAAAGUUAACGAAGAGCUCAAUAAGCGCAUGCGAGCCGAGGGUCUGGCGCCGGUGAC
rnacentral:misc_RNA from 1 species